rnacentral:lncRNA from 1 species
UUUGUAAAUACGUGAAUUUUUUAAUUUAGGUAAGUCACAUGAUUCAACAACUGAAAAUACCUAAAGAAUUCUUGGUUCACCCAUUGCUGAGUGACCACCCUUUGAUCACCACUCUGGCCUUACAGCUGAGGGAACAAUACUACCUUAAUUCUGGAGUUGGAUCACCAGAUUAAUGGAUUAUAGGUAAUUUCUUCCUCCUUCCCUUUUUUGCUUGUCUCCUCCAGCCCCCACCCUGCCUUUUAAAAAGCA